UACGGAGGGUGCGAGCGUUGUCCGGAUUCACUGGGCGUAAAGGGCGCGUAGGCGGCCGUGUGUGUGAGGCGUGAAAGCCCGGGGCUCAACCCCGGAAUUGCACCUCAAACUACAUGGCUAGAGCAUUGGAGAGGGUAGCGGAAUUCACGGUGUAGCAGUGAAAUGCGUAGAUAUCGUGAGGAACACCAGUGGCGAAGGCGAGUCUCUGGACAUUUCCUGACGCUGAGGCACGAAAGCCAGGGGAGCAAACGGG
rnacentral:rRNA from 1 species